rnacentral:tRNA from 1 species
UCCCAGGUGGCUUAGUGGUAAAGAAUCUGCUUGCAAUGCAGAAGCCACAGAAGACUCAGGUUUGAUCCCUGGGUUGGGCA